rnacentral:rRNA from 1 species
UAAGGAAUAUUGGUCAAUGGAGGCAACUCUGAACCAGCCAUGCCGCGUGCAGGAAGACGGCCCUAUGGGUUGUAAACUGCUUUUAUUCGGGAAUAAACCCUUUUACGUGUAAGAGGUUGAAUGUACCGAAAGAAUAAGGAUCGGCUAACUCCGUGCCAGCAGCCGCGGUAAUACGGAGGAUCCAAGCGUUAUCCGGAUUUAUUGGGUUUAAAGGGUGCGUAGGCGGCUUAUUAAGUCAGGGGUGAAAGACGGUGGCUCAACCAUCGCAGUGCCUUUGAUACUGAUGAGCUUGAAUACACUUGAGGUAGGCGGAAUGUGACAAGUAGCGGUGAAAUGCAUAGAUAUGUCACAGAACACCAAUUGCGAAGGCAGCUUACUAAGGUGCAAUUGACGCUGAGGCACGAAAGCGUGGGGAUCAAACAGG